UAUAACAUAAUAUUUUGUAUAUUUCAGAACAAAAGAUAACAAAACCACACCGACAUCCAUACGAACUACACAAAGGGCACGCGAAACACCGAGGCAGCAACAGGAAGGCAGCGCAUGGAAACGUAAACCAAAACAAAAAUGGAAAACAUCGAAGUAAUAUAAAUCAUCUUAAUUGUAUUGAAAACACAGUUAGCAAUUAUGACAACCUGGAUAGUUACCUGAGGAUAGCUUAAACAUAUAGCAACUUCAAUUUUUAAGAGUAAUUAUAAAUUUCUUUUAUGUUGAUGGGCAAUAUGGUGUAGAAUAAACAACCUUCUAUUACUAAUGGUUUACACUUAUGAAGUUCUAAAUUAUGUACAUACCUAUGAUAGUUGUUACUAUUUCUUGUGCUACAUAUAUGUUCUGCACCCACCUCUAAUCAUCAUAACGUUCCCAUUACUAUUUUACACACCCUGCAGGAAUGUGUACUUUAUUACAAAGAACAAAAAACAUUCCAUCAUUUUGGCGUAUUGCCGAACAUUCUAUGAGAUGAUCGCGAUAAUAUACUGUCACAAUUUUAGUGACCAUAGAUGGGGUUUGGAUUGGUAAUUAAAGAUCUGUGACUGUAACCGUUUCACUAGUUCACAUACUUUACAGUUCACUAGAGCACACACAUAAGUCUUCUCAGCCUGCUGUGUCUUCACUAGCCGUUGCUCAGUAGCGACUUCGAAUGGUGGAUGCUCCCCUUCCUCUGGGUUCCCGAACUGUCCCUGGCCUCAGCAACAGCUCACAUAACUGAAUCCCAGCAGUUAUCUAACUAACUCACUGACAAACUGACUACACUCCAGUGAUAUCUCUUAUGUCUUAUAUGUCUUAUGAGACUAUUAUCCACAUUAGUCCAGGGAGGAGAGUUAUUCUUGGUAACAUAAAUCGCUUGACUUCAAACUUUCCCACAAAAGAGAAUACAGUGUUUCACCUAUCACCCUUCAGUUUAUCACUGUAACCAUAUAUUGGAAGAGCAGACUCCAUGAACUUAAUCGUUCUCAUCUUCAUUUCGCUCCAGUGAACUGAAACUUAAAUCUAUGUGCAUUUCAGCCUGUAGGAAUUCAAGAUGACAAAGCUUCAUUUAGCUCUGUGGGUCAUGUGACCAAUACUCACUAAUACCAAAACGUGAGUUCAGGAUAUCACAAAUGGGGCGAUCUACAAAACAUCUAUGAAUGUAAAGAAACAUAUAUAUAUCGAUUCUAAUGUAUCGCCAUUCUUUUACUGUGAAAAGGGGUUCCCCUACAUGUUUCAAACUUCAAGGGGUCAUGAUAAAUAAUGCUGCAGAAUCAUUUAGAAGUUGCCAGUCAGUUUCAUUAACUAUGCACUACUAGCUUCAACAGUUGAAGAAAACAACAUAACUAGAGAGAACAUCAUGUCAUAUCUGUUUACUCCUAACAAGAGAGAGGCUUGUAUGGAUCAGCAAUCAGUAGUAAACCAAUCCGGAUAUGCACUGACCUGUUGUACCAUGGGAUGCAAUUGAUUUCCCUAGUCAGUUGGAAAUGUUAGCACCUGCAAUAACUCGUAG